rnacentral:rRNA from 1 species
AACGCACGCUAGUGGGCAGCAGCACAUGAGAAAUCAAAGUCUUUGGGUUCCGGGGGGAGUAUGGUCGCAAGGCUGAAACUUAAAGGAAUUGACGGAAGGGCACCACCAGGAGUGGAGCCUGCGGCUUAAUUUGACUCAACACGGGAAAACUUACCAGGUCCAGACAUAGGAAGGAUUGACAGAUUGAGAGCUCUUUCUUGAUUCUAUGGGUG